rnacentral:lncRNA from 12 species
CUUUAUGAUAUAGAAGAGACUAAUCUUUGAUGCUCAUCAAGUAAAAGUAUAUACGGUUCUUAAUUCCCCGCAGUUUACAGACUUAAAAAACUGCAUUUUGACCGUCAUGAGUGCACCCUCUUCAGUCAACAUGUCUUCUGGGGAAGCUAAUCGCUCAGGUAAUGAUAUGCAAGGGCCUGUACUGUUACCUCAGUACAGAAAUCAUUUUGAAAUGGACACCACUGAAGAUUUGAGAAGGAAACGCUAUAAGCUUGAGAAAAAACAUUUGGAAUUCAUCAAUCAAUACAAUCAAGAUAUGUCUUGCUAUGAAAAAGAAUAAUGAAAUUAAGGUUGGCAGUCAAGAGAGGAGAGGCUUUUUGUCAGGUUCUGGAGAGUGAAAUAUCCUUUGCUAGAGGAGAGGCUUUUCGUCAGGUUCUGGAGAGUGAAAUAUCCUUUGCUAGAAGAGAUGCUCAUGAACAGAUGUAUUCUGCAGAGGAUGAGCUAUGGGAUGCAAAAGCAAAGCUUUUGAAACUGCAAUUAAGUUAAAAAAAAAAAAUUACAGACCAGAAGACAUAUCUGUCCCUAGUUAUUAAAACAUGCAGAGAUUGCACAAAGUUUUAUGGCUACUAUGUUUUUCGGAAGCCACAAAGUUU